ACUCCUACGGGAGGCAGCAGUGGGAAUAUUGCACAAUGGGGAAGCAUCUGAUGCAGCCAUGCCGCGUGUGUGAAGAAGGCCUUCGGGUUGUAAAGCACUUUCAGUAGGGAGGAAGGUAGUGUAGUUAACACCUGCACUAUUUGACGUUACCUACAGAAGAAGCACCGGCUAACUCCGUGCCAGCAGCCGCGGUAAUACGGAGGGUGCGAGCGUUAAUCGGAAUUACUGGGCGUAAAGCGCAUGCAGGCGGCCUGUUAAGUCAGAUGUGAAAGCCCGGGGCUUAACCUCGGAAUUGCAUUUGAAACUGGCAGGCUAGAGUCUUGUAGAGGGGGUGAGAAUUGAUCAGGUGUAGCGGUGAAAUGCGUAGAGAUCUGAAGGAAUACCAGUGGCGAAGGCGGCCCCUCGAGCAAG
rnacentral:rRNA from 1 species